GUAGCACUUUAUGUAAGGACCAUCAAACGCACACAAAUUAAAUGAAUAAAGUAAGCACUUCAUGAAAUGUGAACAACUGUGACUGCAAAAUUUUUUAAGACAAGUGGACAGAUACUCAGUGCUGUCUACCUUCAGUCCACAACAGCUACAUAUUUUCAAAUUGGGGAGAAACAUGGUGCCUAAAUCACUAUAUUUUUGGUACUGGAUGAGUUUUAUAUAUUUUCUUUUACUUUCGUGAGGGGUAAUACUGAAGCAGGACGUUGCUGUAGAUGGAACUGAAAAUAAAUUUGCAGUUCAAGUUAAAAAUGUUGUCUCUUGCACUAGAAAGAGAGAGGUUUGGC